GUGGACGUGCCGGAGUGGUUAU
rnacentral:siRNA from 1 species